CCUGGUUUUGAGAGGUUGGCCAGCGUUACAAAGUGUUCCUUCAGAAAGGCUUCCUGGUCUGGAGUCUGGGGAACCAGUUGAGAGGUCAUGACAUCUGGUCCUCCUCCUGCUGCGCCUCCUCCGUCCUCGUCCUCCUCCAGCUCAGAGGAGUUUCCAUCCACACUGAGAGGCUCUGAGUCUACGAGGACGGAGACAGGUUAGGGGUGAGAGACAGACAAGAGAGGUCUGUCUGCCUCGCUUCAUCUGUCUGUCUCACCGUUUCCUGCAGGUUUGUCUCUCUGUAUCUGUCCAUGUCCUGCAGGUUUGUCUCUCUGUAUCUGUCUAUGUCCUGCAGGUUUGUCUCUCUGUAUCUGUCUAUGUCCUGCAGGUUUGUCUCUCUGUAUCUGUCUUUGUCUCUCUGUAUCUGUCCAUGUCCUGCAGGUUUGUCUCUCUGUAUCUGUCUAUGUCCUGCAGGUGUGUCUCUCCGUAUCUGUCUAUGUCCUGCAGUUUUGUCUCUCUGUAUCUGUCUUUGUCUCUCUGUAUCUGUCCAUGUCCUGCAGGUUUGUCUCUCUGUAUCUGUCUAUGUCCUGCAGCUGUGUCUCUCCUUAUCUGUCUGUCUCCCGGUGUCGGUCUCACCAUCUCCUGCAGGUCUCACUGGACUGGACAGCCUGGAGCUGAAUCCCAGUGAGCAGCCGCUGUCUGGACUGGGUUUGUCCUGAUGUUUGUCUGCAGCAGUAGGACACGCCUCCUUCACCUGGAACUCACUGACAGGAAGGGGCAGCGUUUAGAGGGGCGGCGUUCCAACAUCCUACAAGCAGAAUUUAUUCACCUGGGACAAACUACUUCCUAAAAUGGGACAUUGAACUCUGACCCUGUUUAUCAUAUUCAAUUAAUUGUCCUUAAAUCCUUUUGUAAGGAGACGGUGUAAAUAUAAACGACCUGAUGACCUGCUUGUGUUUCAAUCUCUUCUCUCCUCUUUUUCUGCUUCUGUCUCUGCUGCCAAAAGCUCUUUCUACCGAUCCAGAAUCCAAUCUUCAUUUUCUAACCCAAAAAAACUAUUUUCGAUAUUCUCCAACCUCCUCCAACCCCCUAGUCCUCCUCCCCCCUUCUUCUGGGUGACUGUCACUACUUUACCAAGAAAAUAGCUGACAUACGCUCCUCUUUCUCAAACCCACCUCCUAUUUCUUGCUUCCCACUGGCUUCACCUCUAUCGCCCUCACUUUCCUCUUUCACCCCCCUGUCUCCUAACCAAGUUCUUACCCUAGUAACCUCUGACCCUCCGACCACCUGCCCUCUUGACCCCAUUCCAUCACAUCUUCAACGGACGCACCUAUCGGGUAACCUGGAGAGGAUCUGUGUUGAACCUUGUCCUCUUACUACUGGAGUUCCUCAGGGUUCCGUCCUGGGUCCCCUCCUCUUCUCUCUCUACACCAACUCUCUCAUUCGCUCACUUGGCUUCUCCUACCACAGCGAUGCUGAUGACACCCAACUAAUUCUCUCCUUCCCUCACUCGGAUCUCUGCCUGUCUGACUGACAUCUCUCAGUGGAUCCGCCCACCAUCUGAAAAUCAACCCCGACAAGAUGGAACUACUUCUCUUUCCAGGAAAAGAUUCUCCUUCACAGGACCUGACUGUUAACUUUGGCGACUCCGUGUUAACGUCCACUUUGACUGCAGGAACCUCGGCGUGACGUCGACAGCCGACUCUCCCUGACUCCAACAUCACUGACAACACCCUGUAGAUACUCGCUCUACAACAUGAGGAGAACACGUCCUCUUCUCACUCAGAAGGUACUGAUUCAGGCUCUUGUCGUCUCCCUCCUGGACCACUGUAACUCUCUCCUGCAGGUCUCCUGCUACCUCCAUUCCACCUCUGCAGCUCAUCCAGAAUGCAGCAGCUCCACUGGUCUUUAACCUUCCUAAGUUC
ensembl:lncRNA